GAUGAACGCUGGCGGCGUGCCUAAUACAUGCAAGUCGAGCGAACGGACGAGAAGCUUGCUUCUCUGAUGUUAGCGGCGGACGGGUGAGUAACACGUGGAUAACCUACCUAUAAGACUGGGAUAACUUCGGGAAACCGUAGCUAAUACCGGAUAAUAUUUUGAACCGCAUGGUUCAAAAGUGAAAGACGGUCUUGCUGUCACUUAUAGAUGGAUCCGCGCUGCAUUAGCUAGUUGGUAAGGUAACGGCUUACCAAGGCAACGAUGCAUAGCCGACCUGAGAGGGUGAUCGGCCAAACUGGAACUGAGACACGGUCCAGACUCCUACGGGAGGCAGCAGUAGGGAAUCUUCCGCAAUGGGCGAAAGCCUGACGGAGCAACGCCGCGUGAGUGGUGAAGGUCUUCGGAUCGUAAAACUCUGUUAUUAGGGAAGAACAUAUGUGUAAGUAACUGUGCACAUCUUGACGGUACCUAAUCAGAAAGCCACGGCUAACUACGUG
rnacentral:rRNA from 1 species